GCACUGCUGAAGAGUCCCACGAUAGGACGAAACGGCCGUCCAGUGC
rfam:Schistosoma rodhaini strain Burundi genome assembly, scaffold: SROB_scaffold0000870